rnacentral:rRNA from 1 species
CACCGGCAGCUCUAGUGGUAGCAAUUUUUUAUUGGGCCUAAAGCGUCCGUAGCCGGUUUAAUAAGUCUCUGGUGAAAUCCUGUAGCUUAACUGUGGGAAUUGCUGGAGAUACUAUUAGACUUGAGACCGGGAGAGGUUAGAGGUACUCCCAGGGUAGAGGUGAAAUUCUGUAAUCCUGGGAGGACCGCCUGUUGCGAAGGCGUCUAACUGGAACGGUUCUGACGGUGAGGGACGAAAGUUAGGGGCGCGAACCGGAUUAGAUACCCGGGUAGUCCCUGAGCGGGCUGGCAAGG